rnacentral:rRNA from 1 species
CGGUGGUGUGGGCCAGGGGCGGGGGUGAGACGAAGGGUGGUGGGGUGGCGGGGAAGUUCGGGGCGUAAAGCGUGCGUAGGUGGGUCGUUAAGUCGGAUGUGAAGGGCCUGGGGUCAACCGGGGGAUGGCAUUGGAAACUGGCGAGCUAGAGUGCGGUAGAGGGUAGUGGAAUUCCCGGUGGAGCAGUGAAAUGCGUAGAGAUCGGGAGGAACAUCUGUGGCGAAGGCGACUGCCUGGACCAGCACUGACACUGAGGCACGAAAGCGUGGGGAGCAAACAGGAUUAGAUACCCUAGUAGUC